rnacentral:rRNA from 1 species
UACAGAGGUCUCAAGCGUUGUUCGGAUUCAUUGGGCGUAAAGGGUGCGUAGGUGGCGCCGUAAGUCGGGUGUGAAAUUUCGGAGCUUAACUCCGAAACUGCAUUCGAUACUGCGGUGCUUGAGGACUGGAGAGGAGACUGGAAUUCAUGGUGUAGCAGUGAAAUGCGUAGAGAUCGUGAGGAAGACCAGUGGCGAAGGCAGGUCUCUGGGCCGAUACUGACGCUGAGGAGCGAAAGCGUGGGGAGCGAACAGG